UACAGAGGUCUCAAGCGUUGUUCGGAUUCAUUGGGCGUAAAGGGUGCGUAGGCGGCGCGGUAAGUCGGAUGUGAAAUCUUGGAGCUUAACUCCGAAACUGCAUUCGAUACUGCCGUGCUUGAGGACUGGAGAGGAGACUGGAAUUUACGGUGUAGCGGUGAAAUGCGUAGAUAUCGUAAGGAAGACCAGUGGCGAAGGCGGGUCUCGUGGACAGUUCCUGACGCUGAGGCACGAAGGCCAGGGGAGCAAACGGGAUUAGACGUACCCUUGUAAGUC
rnacentral:rRNA from 1 species